CCGGUUGAUCCUGCCGGAGGCCACUGCUAUCGGGGUUCGAUUAAGCCAUGCGAGUUGAGAGGGUUUAGACCCUCGGCGGACUGCUCAGUAACACGUGGAUAACCUGCCCUAAGGUGGAGGAUAACCCCGGGAAACUGGGGAUAAUACUCCAUAGAUCAGAGUAACUGGAAUGUUUUCUGGUCGAAAGUUCCGGCGCCUUAGGAUGGAUCUGCGGCCGAUUAGGUAGUUGUUGGGGUAACGGCCCAACAAGCCAGUCAUCGGUACGGGUUGUGGGAGCAAGAGCCCGGAGAUGGAAUCUGAGACACGAUUCCAGGCCCUACGGGGCGCAGCAGGCGCGAAAACUUUACAAUGCAGGAAACUGUGAUAAGGGAACCCCGAGUGCUCGUACACGCGAGCUGUCCAGGUGUGUAAAAAGCAUCUGAAGAAAGGGCCGGGCAAGACCGGUGCCAGCCGCCGCGGUAAUACCGGCGGCUCGAGUGGUGGCCACUAUUAUUGGGCUUAAAGCGUUCGUAGCUGGACUCUUAAGUCUCCUGGGAAAUCCGCCGGCUCAACCGGCGGGCGUCCAGGAGAUACUGGGAGUCUUGGAACCGGAAGAGGUAAGAGGUACUUCGGGGUAGGAG
rnacentral:rRNA from 1 species